GCGCGAAAACUUUACAAUGCUGGCAACAGCGAUAAGGGAACCUCGAGUGCCAGGUUACAAAUCUGGCUGUCGAGAUGCCUAAAAAGCAUUUCAUAGCAAGGGCCGGGCAAGACCGGUGCCAGCCGCCGCGGUAACACCGGCGGCUCGAGUGGUAACCGUUAUUAUUGGGUCUACAGGGUCUGUAGCCGGCCGGAUAAGUCUCUUGAGAAAUCUGGCAGCUUAACUGUCAGGCUUUCAGGAGAUACUGUCUGGCUCGAGGCUGGGAGAGGUGAGAGGUACUUCAGGGGUAGGGGUGAAAUCUUGUAAUCCUUGAAGGACCACCAGUGGCGAAGGCGUCUCACCAGAACGGACCUGACGGCAAGGGACGAAAGCUAGGGGCACGAACC
rnacentral:rRNA from 1 species